CCUCCUUUCUUCCGCCGUGCGGAAUAUUGGUCAAUGGGCGCGAGCCUGAACCAGCCAAGUAGCGUGAAGGAUGACUGCCCUACGGGUUGUAAACUUCUUUUAUAAAGGAAUAAAGUGAGGCACGUGUGCCUUUUUGUAUGUACUUUAUGAAUAAGGAUCGACUAACUCCGUGCCAGCAGCCGCGGUAAUACGGAGGAUCCGAGCGUUAUCCGGAUUUAUUGGGUUUAAAGGGAGCGUAGAUGGGUUGUUAAGUCAGUUGUGAAAGUUUGCGGCUCAACCGUAAAAUUGCAAUUGAUACUGGCAGCCUUGAGUACAGUUGAGGUAGGCGGAAUUCGUGGUGUAGCGGUGAAAUGCUUAGAUAUCACGAAGAACUCCGAUUGCGAAGGCAGCCUACUAAACUGCCACUGACAUUGAUGCUCGAAAGUGUGGGUAUCAAACAGGAUUAGAUACCCCUGUAGUC
rnacentral:rRNA from 1 species